CUCCCCAAAGAAAAUCUGGCACAGUGUGACCUCAUGUCCACAGCAUGCAGGGUGCUUGAAUAUGAACAGGGCACUUUCGGUAAAUAGACGCGAAGGCCAGGCCCUGUCUCAGCUGCCUUGCUUUCUUUAGUUCCAGGGAGUUGAUCACCAGGGAGAUCCAAACUGAUGAUAAACAAGAAGAACUGAAUCUCCAUCAGUGCCAUGUAAUAGCUCUUUAAAAGUAAAACAAUGUCAAUGGGC